GUGUGCAUGCUAGCUGUGGGUAGUUGCUGUGGCAGACAGGACAUUUUUUUGUGUGUGUGUGUGUGUGUGUGUGUAUGUAUGUGUUUGCGUGUGCGCGCACGUGUGCGUGUGUGUGUGUGCCACUGAAACAAUGGCGAGCUAUGUUCCAUUGAGCCAAAGCUGAUGGAGGAUCAGUGAGGCAGCGAGCAGCUCAAUAAUCCAUCAUCAUGAGACAAGAGGAUGGAACACAUGUGGAUGAAGGGUUGCGGGGGUAUGCUGGAGCCUAUCCCAGCUGACUUUGCCAGCUGCCGUUUGACGCCCCUGCACAACCUGAAGCUCCAUUGUUCCAUUGAAGGAAAAAGCAGCCUGGAUCAUGAAGGCACCCCCUCCACUGUACCGCGUGGAAAACAUCUCUUUGUCAAAGCUCAAUUUUUUCUCAUCAGAGAAUGAAACUUUCUUCCACCUUUCAAUGUCCCAGAUGCCAUCUGGUUGUUAUUGGACUGCAAGGUUUCCCCCAAGUGGUGGGCUGCAUGGGACUGCCGCUGCUGUGCCGUGCCACUGCUGCGUCUGCAAUUUUUUUUUUUAAUUAUGACAAAUCAUUUUUUAAUGACCUAAUUUCCUUACUAACUUAUUUAUUUACUGUUUUUCAACAACCAGCAGAACAUGAACAGCGAAUAUCGCAAAACUAAUUUAAUGACAAAGUUGCUGAGAGCACUUAAGUGAGUUUACAAUGUUGAGCCUCUUUUUGUUACCUGACCUAUUUAUUCCAAUAGUACUAUGUGACUAUUAGUACAAAAGUACAACAUUUUGUACUAUUUAACACAAACCGAAAUUUUAUUUGAGUUUUAGAGUAAAACUAAUACACGGGAAAUGAAUUGUUAAUAAUAAAUCAAAUCAUUUAAAUAUCGUUGUUAUAGAAAUGUGUCCUGUAUAAAUAAAUUGAGAGUCCAGGGUUAUGAUAGCACAGGUGUAUCCAGCUUGCAGCACUAUUAAAUCGACUUUGACAAGAAGAAAGGAAAGGUGAGCUACUUUAUGUGACUGCCAACAUUUAAUUGUAGUGUACUUACAAAGUACAUUUCCACUCUGUGUGCUCAUUUGUCAUUAAAUACAGGUGUCAUGUGUGAAUAGAACACUUAUAAAACACUAAGAGGUGAAGCAAAUAUUCUUUGGUGAACUAUUCAACAUCAGCUGGUGAGCUACCGCUAGCAUAUGCACUACUGUACCUGUUGGAGUGUGAUAGCAUCACUGUCUAGAGCUGGACACACUACGUGUUUGCUGAACAACCUACUGUAGACACGCAUCUAGCAUUUUGAAGACAAACCAUAAGUAUUAUAAUGAUAACAAGAGAGCAAGAUUGUUAAGCGACACUUUAAAAAGUACGUUAGCAUGGAUGUGAUAGCCUCUUCUAGCUCGCCCGUGAUCUAGCUAACCACCGCCAGAGAAUCAGUGCAAACGUGUAAAAGACGCCAGAAAGUGGAAUGAGAUUGAAACGUGAGCGAUCACACACGCUGGCUUAGAUAGGCUUUGCAUGUGACAAGCUGUGGUCAAUUGACUACACAUUUUACGUACUAUUUUUUUUAUUUCCACAAUAAUAAGGAACACAGUGAACGUGUAAACACAAAACACUAGCGCCGCAUAUCAAGUGCCGACACGGCAGAGAGGCGCUAAAACAAAGCGCAGUGAAACAUUUUUAUAAUAUUUUAAAUUGUUUCUAACUAAUUGUGGCCAAUAUGUGCGUAAAUAAUAACCUAUAUAUGUAUCUACAUAGCAUACGCAGUAGGGGUGUAACAAUUUGUUUUAAUAACGAUUCGUGGUUGCCGAUACAAUUCAAGAACAAUUUUGGUUCAUUUAGAACAAUUCAAUAACUUUAAAUCGAUCAGUAACUUUUUAGCCAAAAAUUCAACCAGUGUGUGACUGGACAGUGCAGGUGAAGUUUCCUAGAUUCCCGUUGGUUUUUGUAAGGGAAUCAGGUAUGAAUUAAUAAUGCUGACAUACUUAAGAAUAAAUUAUUAAUGAGUCCAAAAAAUGAGUUAAAAAUGCAAUACAAAAUCAGGAUGAACAGAGGGUGGUAUAGCUUGCUAUGAUUAUCUAUUUACUUUAAAUAGUGCAAUCCAAACCUGCAUUUGCACCCUAAGGUGAGGGACAUUAUGCAAAUUCCUCAGCAAAUGAAUGCGGUAUGGUAUCUUCCAUUAGGUGUUGAAACUUUCUCACCUGUACGGGCCGAUGGCAGCAGGGGCUUUUUUUAUGCUGAUAGUCCUUCUGAUCACAGCAGCCAUUUGAAAGAACGGUGCAGCAACUAUCAAGUAAUGUGGACUCCUUGUACCUUUUGCCACUGAGAGGGUCGGGAUCGGUCGGUCUUGAUGACGCGCUUAACAGAGACGCUGAACAGGAUACCGUGGUGUGGUGGGUUUAUGAUAAUACGUUUUGAUAAUGAUGAGACCAAACCGGAAGAGCAAACAGAUACUUUCCAUGUGAAGGGAUGGCAGAUGGCGUGCAGUAGUUUAAGGAAACGUGGUAAUGCAAAAGAAGAAUACACAAGAAAUGUAUUGUUUCCGCACACGUAAGCAUAUGUUUUGACCUGAACACGAGGCACUGGAUGAUGAUGUCACUAAGCGUCACUGCUGCUGGACUGGGAAACUAUCGUCAAGAGGCGUCCAAAACGUCCUUACUUUGCAUAUUGUCGCCAUAAAUGUCACUUAAAAAGAGUUUCAAAUAAAGACAGAUGAGUUAAAUAUGAAUAUGAACACUGAAUGAAGUAAUUAAUUAACCAAAAAAAAGAAAAAGCAAAUCAACUUUAUUU